CAGUAGCCGCGGUAAUACAAAGGGUGCGAGCGUUAAUCGGAUUUACUGGGCGUAAAGCGUGCGUAGGCGGCUUCUUAAGUCGGAUGUGAAAUCCCUGAGCUUAAUUUAGGAAUUGCAUUCGAUACUGGGAAGCUAGAGUAUGGGAGAGGAUGGUAGAAUUCCAGGUGUAGCGGUGAAAUGCGUAGAGAUCUGGAGGAAUACCGAUGGCGAAGGCAGCCAUCUGGCCUAAUACUGACGCUGAGGUACGAAAGCAUGGGGAGCAAACAGGAUUAGAUACCCCUGUAGUCCCUGUCUCUUAUAC
rnacentral:rRNA from 1 species